rnacentral:lncRNA from 1 species
GUCAAUUCAUAUAAUAACAUAAAAUAUAAAUACAAAUUACGAUGAAUCAACAUAAUAACAUAAUCAAUUCCUUUUCAAGCACAAAUUCAUUGAAAUCCGUAUCUUUCAAAUAUCCACAUACAUAAUCAUAAAUCUGAUUCGAAACAAAUCACAUUCAUCUCAUCAGCCUUUAGCUACGACAACACUUAUACCCUAUGGCUAGGCCAGAAACAGAACCGCACUUAUACCCUGCGGAGUGGGCUAGAAUACCGUACUUAUACCAUGUGGAGUGGGCCAGAAUACCACACUUAUACCAUGUGGUGGGGCCAGAAUUGCCAAUGCAUAACCUCCUAUUGGCAGGGUCCAGAACAUAGCCAGGUUGAGAGUUCUAAAUCUGAUGCACAUCAAAAUUCUUUUGUAACAUAAUAGAUAUAUCAUAAUCCGAUCUAAAUAUGCAUAUACGAUGCAAGAACAGUAAUAUAACAAUAGUCCGAAAAAAUAUUAUUCCAAUUCACAUAUCUAUUUUUCAUUCAAAGCAUCAUCUCGUAAAAUUCAUAAAUCAUAUAUAAAUUCAUUAACAAUUU